ACUGAACGCUGGCGGCAGGCCUAACACAUGCAAGUCGAGCGAGCGGCGGACGGGUGAGUAAUGUAUGGGGAUCUGCCCGAUAGCGGGCGAUCACUACUGGAAACCGUGGCUAAUACUGCAUACUAUCGGAUGAACCCUAAUGGGAUGAGCUAGUAGGCGGGGUAAAGGAGCACCUAGGCGACGAUCACUAGCUGGUGGGAGAGGAUGAUGAGCCACACUGGGACUGAGACACGGCCCAGACUCCUACGGGAGGCAGCAGUGGGGAAUAUUGCCCAAUGGGCGCAAGCCUGAUGCAGCCAUGCCGCGUGAAUGAAGAAGGCCUUCGGGUUGUAAAGUACUUUCAGUCGGGAGGCGUUACCGACAGAGAAAGCACAGGCUAACUCCGUGCCAGCAGCCGCGGUAAUAC
rnacentral:rRNA from 1 species